rnacentral:lncRNA from 1 species
GCAACUUGACUUCAGAAGAGAAAGGCAGAGAGGCAGCUUGACUUUAGGGGAGAGCAACCUUUCCUUUCUGUCUCCUUUCCAGCUCUCCUCUCCACUGACAGCUGCUUUACUCACUCAAAAUUCUCCACAUUCACCGUCUUUCAAUUCAUCCGCGUGACUUCAUUCCUCUUUGGCACUGGACAAGAAUUCAGGACACACCAGAUAUUCCAUAGGGGAAAGAAGGAGAGCUGAGAAUGCACAGAAAUUUUCAUGUGCCAAGUUUGGAAGUGAUGGUGUCAGAAGCAGGAUCCCAAGCAGAGCUUCUAGUGACCUCCAGGAGCGCUGAGUGAACACUCGAGGUACCAGCACUCGAGGACCCACUUGUGUCCAUGGAUCUCUCAGAGCGGCUCCGGAUGGUGGGAUCAUCUGAGAAAUGUAUUGCAAACAGCAUUUGGUUAUUACACCCAAAGAGGC